rnacentral:lncRNA from 1 species
GGGUGGAGGCUGCUCGCCGCUUGGCUAUCCGGUUGGGGGCGACGCAGGACGCCUUGGAGACUCCGGCCGGGGCCUACCAGCUUAUGGAUGACGAGACAGUAGGUUUUCCUCUGCAUUUUUUCUCUUUUCAGUUCUUUUCCUCCCAUUUUUGCUGAAGUUGCUCAAGCUUCAUUAUUAUGCAACAGUAGUUAUUAAUCACGAAAUUAUAAAUCAGACUAUGUUUUCUCUAGAAAACUAUGAAUUUAGUUGUCUAUUAGGAUGUAAAAGAUUAGCAAUACAUUGCUGUGAGGUAGGUAUAUGGAGGGUUGGCUUCCAUAUUCCAAAACUUUCCUUGGGUUCUUCAUAUGCUUUACUUUCACACUUUCACUUUCAUUGGAAGUUAUCUGCAUUCUAAAAGAAUCCAAUAUUUCGUUUCUCAGGUAUGCAGAGCUUAGGAAAAUACCACCUUCCUUCAUCUUAAGAAAUUUAACCAUUUGUCCUAUUUGUAAAAUGAAUUGGAGUACUUGGUAGAUUAUGUGCUCACAUUGGUCAAGUAUGAGUUCGUCGGCUUUCUUCCUUCUUCCUUCUCUAGUUGCUGCAUUAGCCAUAUUUCUGCUAGGACGCUGGAUGACUCUCACGCCACCUUGGGUGUGUUCUCUAUCUUGCAUUUCUUUCAUGGCCACAAGCUUACUUGAUUAUUUAUCUCGGCUUACCUUUUACUUUCUGCAGAAUCCAAUUUUGGAAUUCUACACAUCUUAUAAGGCAUCUCACUCCAUUGCAAGACGUGCAAUCCAAUGCAAAAGAAUACCAUACACAUCAAGCAUCGGCAACAGAAGCAGAAGGUACACUAAGCUCAACAACUAGAACAAAUUAAAAUAAUACUUCUUCUUUAUAAUUCAAAUCUCAAAAUGAAACAAAAAAAAAAAAAGUUCGGAGAAUGGCUUGAGAAUGGCUUGCUUAGCGUCUGGUGAAGCUAAGUUACUUGAGUCUAGCCAUUAAAUCCAUAAUUAUUUUGUUUUGUUUCAAGAAAUGAUUUCAUAGUUCAUUUAUUUUUUAGUAAGUAAAGACAGCGCCAGGACGUUCGCCGAGGCUUGCUUGGCUUGCGUGUCUCGUGAAUGUAAGUUACUAGCCAUUAAAUCCAUAAUUCAUUCUUUUGUAAGUAAAGAAGAGUAAUGCAUAAUUAAUUAUUUUAUUUGUUAUAUUUGAUGAAUUUAUUUUCAUACAAGAGUAAACUAGUUUUGUAAAUUUAACAAGAAAACAUGCCAUGCCAUGCCCGGAUAGAUUUAUCAACCUAAACUUAUGGAUCAUCUUUAUUUUUAUUAGGAUUGAAUCUACUUAUUUCUCUCACCAAGUUGGUUGGUUAGCUUCCUUGGAGCCGGUCGAGUUGGGUUAGUCAUGAUAAAUUGCCAUAUAGUUUAUUUUUUUCUAAAAUUAUUAAUUUUUUUAUUUUUUAUUUUAUUUUUUAUUUUCAUUACUAAACAUGUCUUUUGCCCGUACCCAAUGUUUUGGUAGAGCUCGGAUAAAACUCAAAUUUGUUUUUUUCUAAGUAAACUAAAUUCUCUCCCUAAUAAUUAUUAAUUAUUUUAUGAAUUAUGAAAAUAA